rnacentral:rRNA from 1 species
AGAGUUUGAUCCUGGCUCAGGAUGAACGCUAGCGGCAGGCUUAACACAUGCAAGUCGAGGGGCAGCGAGAGUAGCAAUACUUGUCGGCGACCGGCGUAAGGGUGCGUAACACGUGAGCAACAUACCCCUAUCUGGAGGAUAACCGGAGGAAACUCUGACUAAUACUCCAUAGCAUCAUCAGACGGCAUCGUCUGCUGAUUAAAGAUUUAUCGGAGAGGGAUUGGCUCGCGGGACAUUAGCUAGUUGGUCAGGUAACGGCUGACCAAGGCGACGAUGUCUAGGGGUUCUGAGAGGAAGGUCCCCCACACUGGAACUGAGACACGGUCCAGACUCCUACGGGAGGCAGCAGUGAGGAAUAUUGGACAAUGGUCGGAAGACUGAUCCAGCCAUGCCGCGUGAAGGUUACAGUCCUAUGGAUUUUAAACUUCUUUUGUAUGGAAGCAAUAAGGUGUACGUGUACACCGAUGAGAGUCCCAUACGAAUAAGCAUCGGCUAACUCCGUGCCAGCAGCCGCGGUAAUACGGAGGAUGCAAGCGUUAUCCGGAUUUAUUGGGUUUAAAGGGUGCGUAGGCGGAUAUGUAAGUCAGCGGUGAAACUCACAGGCUCAACCUGUGCCGUGCCGUUGAAACUGUGUAUCUGGAAUGCGGAUGCUGUGGGAGGAAUGUGUAGUGUAGCGGUGAAAUGCAUAGAUAUUACACAGAACACCGAUUGCGAAGGCAUCUCACAAAGCCGUUAUUGACGCUGAGGCACGAAAGUGUGGGGAUCAAACAGGAUUAGAUACCCUGGUAGUCCACUACUGUAAACUAUGAUAACUCGCUGCCAGCGAUAGACUGUUGGUGGCCCAGCGAAAGCGAUAAGUUAUCCACCUGGGGAGUACGACCGCAAGGUUGAAACUCAAAGGAAUUGACGGGGGCCCGCACAAGCGGAGGAACAUGUGGUUUAAUUCGAUGAUACGCGAGGAACCUUACCCGGGCUCGAACGGCAGAUGUCGUAUACAGAGACGUAUACUCUCUUCGGAGCGUCUGUCGAGGUGCUGCAUGGUUGUCGUCAGCUCGUGCCGUGAGGUGUCGGCUUAAGUGCCAUAACGAGCGCAACCCUUGUCGAUAGUUGCCAUCGGGUCGAGCCGGGGACUCUAUCGAGACUGCCUCCGUAAGGUGAGAGGAAGGGGGGGAUGACGUCAAAUCAGCACGGCCCUUACGUCCGGGGCGACACACGUGUUACAAUGGUGGUUACAGAGGGCUGCUCCCUGGUGACAGGUUGCCAAUCUCCAAAAGCCAUCUCAGUUCGGAUCGGAGUCUGCAACUCGACUCCGUGAAGUUGGAUUCGCUAGUAAUCGCACAUCAGCCAUGGUGCGGUGAAUACGUUCCCGGGCCUUGUACACACCGCCCGUCAAGCCAUGGAAGUUGGGGGUGCCUGAAGUCCGUCACCGCGAGGAACGGCCUAGGGCAAAACUGAUAACUGGGGCUAAGUCGUAACAAGGUAGCCGUACCGGAAGGUGCGGCUG